rnacentral:rRNA from 1 species
UACGUAGGGUGCGAGCGUUGUCCGGAAUUAUUGGGCGUAAAGAGCUCGUAGGCGGUGUGUCACGUCGUUCGUGAAAACCUGCAGCUUAACUGUGGGCGUGCGGUCGAUACGGGCAUCACUGGAGUUCGGCAGGGGAGACUGGGAUUCCUGGUGUAGCGGUGAAAUGCGCAGAUAUCAGGAGGAACACCGGUGGCGAAGGCGGGUCUCUAGGCCGAUACUGACGCUGAGGAGCGAAAGCGUGGGGAGCAAACAGG